AGUAAACCCCUUGGUCUUAUCAUCUACACUAGAUCGAGGAAAUCAUUCAUUUUCCUCUCUUUUUCUUCUUUCUUUAUUUCUUCCUCCUCCUUUUUCUUCUUCUUUCUUCUUCACUGUCCGUAGCCUCUGGGGAAUUGAGGGGUGAAAUGGUUGUUCUGUGAUCAUUAGAAGGUGGAGAAGAUCGUGUAUUAGUCAGUGGUGAUGGUGUUCGUAAUUGAUUCAGAAUCGAAGUAGGAAGUGAAUUAGAAGUUAGGGUUUCUGGGUUUUUAUUUUGAUUGAAGAUUAAUGAGAAAUUGAAGAUGGUUUUGAGUUGUUGAUGUAUGAAUAACUGCGGGGUUGUGGUUUAAAUCACGAGGAGAAGAAGGGAUAAUGAUCUGUUGAUGAAGAUCGAGAAAGUUAGGGUUUAUCAGAGAAUUGAAUUGGAGUUCGAUUGAGCGAUGAUUAAGAAGAAUUAGACGGAAUCUUAGUUGGGUUUAUUUGAAUUGAAAUCUAUAUUUGUAUUCUUCAUGGAAUUAGAAGAUGAAAUUGAUGUUGUGGAAGAAUGAUUUGAGAUGGGUAUUGAUCGUUAGAGUGAAUUAGAGUCAAGGAUGAAGAGUAACUCGGGAUUGAGGAAGAUUAGGCUUUAUGUUCUCUCGAAAUUUGAGAAUCAGUGAUGGGUUGAAGAAUUAGGGUAUGGUAUGAGUUGUGCUGAUGAGUUCUGGGUAGUCUGGAGAUGUGUUGGUGAAUCAAAACCAAGGUGAGAAGCAGAAUCUGAUGCAGUUGCUUGAGGAAAAUUACUUUGAGGACAAGAAUACUGCUCUGAUUAUAAUUAGAAUUGCAAGUGGUGGUGGUCUGGUAAGGUAUAGAGCUGGAGAUGGCAGCAAAUAACUGUACAAGAACAUAUAGUUUGAGUUGAGUGUUAGGUAGUGUGUUAACUGAGUUUCAGUUGAAGUUGAUUUUACUGAUUGGGACUCAGUUUGGUUUUACAAGGUUGGUGUUAAAAUGGGAAGUGAAUCUGGUUUGGUGGUGCUGAAAUGGAUAUUGCAAAUUGAACCAGCGUGUGUUGCAAAUAAAGAAGAUGUUUACACUAGAGUUGAAUUGUCGGAACUACCGUUAGUAGUAGUAAAUGAAUGCACUGUAAGUGGUAGAAUGAAUGUCUUUAGUGUGGUGGUUUCAGUGAAGGCUUGCUUAGAGCUGUAAUUACAGGUAAUCUGUAUCUGAAUUUAUAGUGAGUUUGAUCUCAAAUGAAGUGCAGAUGGAGUCUUAAUGUUAUGGAGUGAGAGAUGUAAUUUGUUGGUAGCAAUAUAACUGAAGUUGUGGGUGGGGUUGAUCUAUGUUGUGUGAGUUGCAGUGAAAGGGUUUAUAAGUGGAUUGAUCUGAGAUUGAGCUUAGUUUGAUAGUGAUGAUAGAAUUGUAGUUCGUGCUAGCAGUGAAAGCUUGCAACUUCUGCUGUUGCAGUUAGUCUAUAUUAACAACGAUCAAUUCAAAGGAUGAACCAGUGGAUCAUGGAUCUCGAGGUAGACGUGGCUUGUCAUUAAAAGAGGUGAGAGUACAUUUGACUCUUUGGUAACCAUUAUUGUUUUCCUUUACAACAGUUUAUGUUUAACAAACUCAUGUAUUUCUGUUUGUGCGUUCUAUGCAUUGUUUAACUUGUUAUACGAUAAUUCUGUUGAUUCUGUUAAUCUUUCCAUGGUUUGGAAAGGACCUGUAAUGUGUUGUGGUCAAUAUGAAUUUUUAUGGGAAA